CAAAACUCGAUACGGGUAUUACCCUAAAAACACAUCAUGUUUAUUAUCAAAAUAUAACCUCCCUUUUACAAUGACCGAACUAUGGCUAUUUAUAGUAGUAUAGCUGACCCAAGCAUGGUUUGACUAACACGCUAGCCACACCCCUAAUUCGAAGGAAAGCACAAACUUGACCUACCAAAACAUACUAACCGACUUGAUUUAUCUAAUCUAAUCUAAGGAAACAAAAGCAACGACGACUUGUUUGAUUGAUGCGGCUUCUUGUGCUAUCUGUAGAUGGACCCCAUCUGGUUUCUUUUAUAGAAAGCAAUUCUUCAAUCUUCAUAGUCAUCCACGAGUAUACCCUUGAUCGGGUGGCCGCACCUGAUGGAAAACGUACGUGGUCAGGACUCCGUACAGGACUAAUAUCUCAUGGAUGCAUGUGACCUUGUUUAUCUCUGGACCAAACCAAAACUGAUUAAAUAUGCAUGCAGAUUCCUUUCUUUGCUCAAUCCUAAUUCUACAUGCUCGUUCCUUGGCAUGCACAUUAUUGCUCUUGUCAGUGCAAUGCAAAUUAGUAGCCUCGCUUGUAAUAAUCAUCGAGACUAAGUGUUCUGCAUCUCCAGAUGAAAUAACAGUAACCUCGGUAUUGACAGAACACGUGGUUGUAUCGUCCUCCCCCCUUGAAUGGAAACCGUCCUCGGUUUCGACUCAAUCUCUUGAGAAAUAUUUUCAUCUACGGAUUGAACAACGACCACAAAAAUUUCAGUAGCUUCGACCAUAUUAUUUUUAGCAUCUUCUUCUUCUUUUACCUUCUUCUGAUGUUCUCUCCUCCAAGCAAUAAAACGAUCCUGACCCAUAGGCACGAGGUUGUACUUCUUGCCCUUCUUGACGGUAUAUAUGUGUGUUGGACAAUCAUAUGCAACAUCGUGCUCUUUGUACCAUGGCUUGCCCAACAAUAAGUGACAUGAAACCAUCGAAGCCGGAAUCACGUCACACAAAACCAUGCAAUAAUAUUUUCCCAACAAAAAUGGUACCUCGGUUUGAUGUGUGACACUAAGCUCUUCGUGACCCCAACGGAACGAGUAUGGUUGUGGGAGUGGUGUCAUUGGCAGUUCCAACUUCUCCACCAUCUCAAUGCUUGCCGCGCUGAUCAAACUCAUGUGGUCGAUUGUCAUAGCACAUGAUCUCUCUUGUACCACAACACGAGUAUGAAAAAGUCCAUCCCAUUGGCCUUCCUCCUCCAACUGAAAUCCAUAGCUUAGCUUCCAUGAUAAUCCAGUCAUCUUCUGCACAGUGCCGUGAACAACCUUGCUCUGAUACCACCUGAUGUAGACCAAACCUCGACGGCGAGAUCCGAUCUGUUGUUGUGGCCCGACCUUUCACGACACACCACCACCAGCAGAAGUAACCUCUCGCCUGCACACGCGAUGUACACAAAAUAGAGGGUUUGAACCUUGCGGCUCAGUACGAGAAAACCAAUCUUGAUGACGGUACUCACGCGCAAAACAAUUUCCUCACAGAGAAAUCGCAACACAGAGGUUUUCUAAAGCUUCCUCCAAAACUUAGGGAUUUUUAGACAGCUUCCCCCAAAACUCGAUACGGGUAUUACCCUAAAAACACAUCGUGUUUAUUAUCAAAAUAUAACCUCCCUUUUACAAUGACCCAACCAUGGUUUGACUAACACGCUAGCCACACCCCUAAUUCGAAGGAAAGCACAAACUUGACCUACCAAAACAUACUAACCGACUUGAUUUAUCUAAUCUAAUCUAAGGAAAUAAAAGCAACGACGACUUGUUUGAUUGAUGCGGCUUCUUGUGCUAUCUGUAGGUGGACCCCAUCUGGUUUCUUUUAAAGAAAGCAAUUCUUCAAUCUUCAUAGUCGUCCACGAGUAUACCCCUUGAUCGGGUGGCCGCACCU
rnacentral:lncRNA from 1 species